rnacentral:tRNA from 1 species
GGCCUGUUAGUUUUUUGGAAUUUUUGCUUGUGGAGUAAAAGGUUAGGGCCU